GUCAAAGUAGCCUUCCCAGAACCUGCAACUCCAAAAGAAGGGAAAAAGAGAACUUAUCCAAUUCGGGAGACAGAUUAAAAAGAAACUCCAUUUGUUAUAAAAGUAAAGUGACAGAAAGUCAGGAAAGAUUGAAAAAAGAAUACAAUGAUAAAUGAAAUACUGCAAGGAAUAACCAAUAACACGUACCUUAGCUCCUCCCAUAUGGACA
rnacentral:misc_RNA from 1 species